GAUGAAUCAAAUUCUUAGGGAAAAGUUUGUGGAGCUUUAUAGCAUGCCAAUACUUGAAAAUUUGCUAGAGAACUUCCAGACAUCGUAUCCCACAUUGAAAUUUCCUCCUCUNNNNNNNNNGGAACUUUGACUUGCAAGAAGUUCUCAGAUCUCCAUACUUUUUCAAUUGAUUCUCCAGCAAGCAACAACCUACCAUACCUUAAUCUGAAGCAUCAUUUCUUCCGUUUUCAGCCUAUUAAAGGCCAAGAGUUCAAUGAGAAAUUAAUCCAAG
rnacentral:misc_RNA from 1 species